UGAGGAAUAUUGGUCAAUGGGCGAGAGCCUGAACCAGCCAAGCCACGUGAAGGACUAAGGCCCUAUGGGUCGUAAACUUCUUUUGUCGGGGAACAAAAAGGUGGACGUGUCCACUGUUGCGUGUACCCGAAGAAAAAACAUCGGCUAACUCCGUGCCAGCAGCCGCGGUAAUACGGAGGAUGCGAGCGUUAUCCGGAUUUAUUGGGUUUAAAGGGUGCGUAGGUGGCUUGGUAAGUCAGCGGUAAAAUUUCGGGGCUUAACCUCGUUUAGCCGUUGAAACUGUCGAGCUCGAGAGGGAGAGAAGUAGGCGGAAUGCGCAGUGUAGCGGUGAAAUGCAUAGAUAUUGCGCAGA
rnacentral:rRNA from 1 species